rnacentral:tRNA from 6 species
GCCACUUUAGCUCAGCUGGUAGAGCAACUGACUUGUAAUCAGUAGGUCGUCCGUUCAAAUCGGACAAGUGGCUCCA